rnacentral:rRNA from 1 species
UACGUAGGGUGCGAGCAUUGUCCGGAAUUAUUGGGCGUAAAGAGCUCGUAGGCGGCCUGUCACGUCGGAUGUGAAAGCCCGGGGCUUAACCCCGGGUCUGCAUUCGAUACGGGCAGGCUGGAGUUCGGUAGGGGAGAUCGGAAUUCCUGGUGUAGCGGUGAAAUGCGCAGAUAUCAGGAGGAACACCGGUGGCGAAGGCGGAUCUCUGGGCCGAUACUGACGCUGAGGAGCGAAAGCGUGGGGAGCGAACAGG